rnacentral:rRNA from 1 species
UACGGAGGGUGCAAGCGUUAUCCGGAUUUACUGGGUUUAAAGGGUGUGUAGGCGGGCUUUUAAGUCAGUGGUGAAAUCUCCGGGCUCAACCUGGAAACUGCCAUUGAUACUAUUAGUCUUGAAUUCUGUUGAGGUGGGCGGAAUAAGUCAUGUAGCGGUGAAAUGCAUAGAUAUGACUUAGAACACCAAUUGCGAAGGCAGCUCACUAAACAGAGAUUGACGCUGAGGCACGAAAAGCGUGGGGAUCAAACAGG